GACGAACGCUGGCGGCGUGCUUAACACAUGCAAGUCGAACGGAAAGGCCCUGCUUUUGUGGGUUUCUCUAGUUGCGAACGGGUGAGUAACACGUUAGUAUCCUGCCCUUUACUUUGUGAUAACUUCUGGAAACUGGUUCUAAUACCGGAUAUGAUCUCCUGCUGCAUGGUGUUGUUUGGAAAGUUUCGGCGGUUGGGGAUGGACUCGCGGCUUAUCAGCUUGUUGGUGGGGUAGUGGCUUACCAAGGCUUUGACGGGUAGCCGGCCUGAGAGGGUGACCGGAGAAAAUGGGACGGAGAGACGGACAAGAAGAGAAAGGGAGGCAGCAGGGGGGAAGAUUGCAAAAUGGGCGGAAGCGUGAGGAAGAAAGGAAGGGAGGGGGAUGAAGGACGUCGGGUUGUAAACAGAAGUGGAAGGAGAAGAAGAGUGAGUGACGGUAAUGGGUAAAGAAGCAACGGCUAACUACGUG
rnacentral:rRNA from 1 species